CCCCAUAUAGCUCAAUGGCAGAGCAUUCGGAUAUAUCCGAGGGGCGUAGGUUCAAACCCUACUAUGGGAA
rnacentral:tRNA from 1 species